CCUACGGGAGGCAGCAGUGGGGAAUAUUGCACAAUGGGGGAAACCCUGAUGCAGCGACGCAGCGUGAGUGAAGAAGUAAUUCGUUACGUAAAGCUCUAUCAGCAGGGAAGAAAAUGACGGUACCUGAGUAAGAAGCCCCGGCUAACUACGUGCCAGAAGCCGCGGUAAUACGUAGGGGGCCAGCGUUAUCCGGAUUUACUGGGCGUAAAGGGAGCGUAGACGGUUUGCCAAGUCUGGAGUGAAAUGCCGCAGCUUAACUGCGGAACUGCUUUGGAAACUGGCGAACUAGAGUGCGGGAGGGGUAAGCGGAAUUCCUAGUGUAGCGGUGAAAUGCUUAGAUAUUAGGAGGAACACCGGUGGCGAAGGCGGCUUACUGGACCGUAACUGACGUUGAGGCUCGAAAGCGUGGGGAGCAAACAGGAUUAGAUACCCCUGUAGUC
rnacentral:rRNA from 1 species